UGUGCCCAUUUUUUCUUCAUGCACGAAAUGAUCUUAUGUGAAAUUUUUCCACACUCAGAAGUAACUUUGUCACCCCUUCUCUGGUUUCAUUUAGAUGAGGAUAAGUUGGUUCAUCAUUCGAAUUCAAAAAGGUUUGAAUUUGACUUGAAACAAACCAAAUCUUAUCCUUAUCCUUAUCUUGCACCUACACCCUUUGGAUGGCUGAGUUUUGCAUG
rnacentral:lncRNA from 1 species